rnacentral:misc_RNA from 1 species
GAUGAAGAACGCAGCGAAAUGCGAUAAGUAAUGUGAAUUGCAGAAUUCAGUGAAUCAUCGAAUCUUUGAACGCACAUUGCGCCCGCCAGCAUUCUGGCGGGCAUGCCUGUUCGAGCGUCAUUUCAACCCUCGAGCCCCCCCGGGGGCCUCGGUGUUGGGGGACGGCACACCAGCCGCCCCCGAAAUGCAGUGGCGACCCCGCCGCAGCCUCCCCUGCGUAGUAGCACACACCUCGCACCGGAGCGCGGAGGCGGUCACGCCGUAAAACGCCCAACUUUCUUAGAGUUGACCUCGGAUCAGGUAGGAAUACCCGCUGAACUUAAGCAUACCAAUAAGCGGAGGA